CACCGUCGGUCGGGUCACACAGAGCGAGAGAGAGAGAGAGAGAAGGCACGGGAGCAGAGGAGAGAAAGGAGAGACCCACGCCAGCCACCGCCGCUUCUGCAGCUCGAAACCCCACUGCCGCCGCCGGAGUGUGCACUACCGAUCUCCGCCGCCGCUGCUUGUUGUUCUGAACUGCUGCACCGUCGUUGCCGCCGUUCGGGUCACUGGGAACGUGGCAGUGAUCAUCGGAACCACCAUCGGAGUUACCGUUAUUUCAAUUCAGCCGUUCGUCCUUGUUUAGGAUCGAGUUCCGGGUCUUGAUUGCUGAGUUCUAUGGCUGUAGCAUACAACAUCAAGGUGCUAUGUCGUCAUCGGAGCUGCUGUUGCUCCAUUUUCUCAAUUAUUUGUAAGCCCAGUAAGAUUGAGCUAAGGCUAUGUUUAGAGGUUGUGGCUGCUGCGGGGACGGUCUGUAUUGAUGUUGCUGCUGUGGAAUAAGAAUAAAAAUGUAGUGUGUCGCGUAGUUAGAUCGCGAAUGAG